rnacentral:rRNA from 1 species
GCCCCGCGCCCGUCCCGCCGCCCCCGCCCGCCUACGGGAGGCAGCAGUGGGGAAUAUUGGACAAUGGGCGCAAGCCUGAUCCAGCCAUACCGCGUGGGUGAAGAAGGCCUUCGGGUUGUAAAGCCCUUUUGUUGGGAAAGAAAUCCAGCCGGCUAAUACCUGGUUGGGAUGACGGUACCCAAAGAAUAAGCACCGGCUAACUUCGUGCCAGCAGCCGCGGUAAUACGAAGGGUGCAAGCGUUACUCGGAAUUACUGGGCGUAAAGCGUGCGUAGGUGGUCGUUUAAGUCCGUUGUGAAAGCCCUGGGCUCAACCUGGGAACUGCAGUGGAUACUGGGCGACUAGAGUGUGGUAGAGGGUAGCGGAAUUCCUGGUGUAGCAGUGAAAUGCGUAGAGAUCAGGAGGAACAUCCAUGGCGAAGGCAGCUACCUGGACCAACACUGACACUGAGGCACGCAAAGGCGUGGGGAGCAAA